UACGAAGGGGGCUAGCGUUGUUCGGAAUUACUGGGCGUAAAGCGCACGUAGGCGGACUAUUGAGUCAGGGGUGAAAUCCCUGGGCUCAACCCAGGAACUGCGUCCGAUACUGGAAGGCUUGAAUCCGGGAGAGGGAUGCGGAAUUCCAGGUGUAGCGGUGAAAUGCGUAGAUAUCUGGAGGAACACCGGUGGCGAAGGCGGCAUCCUGGACCGGUAUUGACGCUGAGGCGCGAAAGCCAGGGGAGCAAACGGG
rnacentral:rRNA from 1 species